rnacentral:rRNA from 1 species
GUCUUCCUACGGGACGCAGCAGUGGGGGAUAUUGCACAAUGGGGGGAACCCUGAUGCAGCGACGCCGCGUGGGUGAAGGAGCGUUUCGGCGCGUAAAGCCCUAUCGGCAGGGAAGAAGGAGGACGGUACCUGACUAAGAAGCCCCGGCUAACUACGUGCCAGCAGCCGCGGUAAUACGUAGGAUGCGAGCGUUAUCCGGAUUUAUUGGGUUUAAAGGGUGCGUAGGCGGAAUGCCAAGUCAGCGGUAAAAUCGCGGGGCUCAACCUCGCUCCGCCGUUGAAACUGGCGUUCUUGAGUGGGCGAGA